GACGAACGCUGGCGGCGGGCCUAAUACAUGCAAGUAGAACGCUGGAGAGAGGAGCUUGCUCUUCUUGGGUGAGUGGCGAACGGGUGAGUAACGCGUAGGUAACCUGCCUUGUAGCGGGGGGUAACUAUUGGAAACGAUAGCUAAUACCGCAUAACAAUGGAUGACACAUGUCAUUUAUUUGAAAGGGGCAAUUGCUCCACUACAAGAUGGACCUGCGGUGUAUUAGCUAGUAGGUGAGGUAAGGGCUCACCUAUGCGAAGAUACAUAGACGACCCGAGAGGGUGGUCGGCCAAACUGGGAACUGGACACCGCCCAGGCUCCUUACGGAGGCAGCAGUAGGGGAUCUUUGGCCAUGGGGGCAACCCUGACCGAGCCACGCCGCGUGAGUGGAGGAGGUUUUCCGAUCGUAAAGCUCUGUUGUAAGUCAAGAAAGGGUGUGAGAGUGGAAAGUUCACACUGUGACGGUAGCUUAACAGAAAGGGACGGCUAACUACGUG
rnacentral:rRNA from 1 species